rnacentral:rRNA from 1 species
UUACCCAAUCCUGAUUCAGGGAGGUAGUGACAAGAAAUAUAAACCCGGGGAUCUAGUAUCUUACGGGAUUUAAAUGAGAACAAUUUAAAUCACUUAGCGAGGAACAAUUGGAGGGCAAGUCUGGUGCCAGCAGCCGCGGUAAUUCCAGCUCCAAUAGCGUAUAUUAAAGUUGUUGCAGUUAAAAAGCUCGUAGUUGAAUUUCUGGUCAAUUUUAGUCUUGGCUUCGGUCGGGCUAAGGUUGGCCAUCCGUCUGCAAGCUAUUCUCGGCCUUCAUUGGUUCGGAUUAGCGAGCUGACAUUUUACUUUGAAAAAAUUAGAGUGUUUCAGGCAGGCUUUUGCCCGAAUACAUUAGCAUGGAAUAAUGGAAUUGGACUCUGGUCCAUUUGGUUGGUUAUUGGAUCUGAGUAAUGGUUAAUAGGGACAGUUGGGGGCAUUAGUAUUUAAUUGUCAGAGGUGAAAUUCUUGGAUUUAUUAAAGACUAACUUAUGCGAAAGCAUUUGCCAAGGAUGUUUUCAUUAAUCAAGAACGAAAGUUAGGGGAUCAAAGACGAUCAGAUACCGUCCUAGUCUUAACUAUAAACUAUACCGACUCGGAAUUGGUAGGGUAUUAUAGCUCUAUCAGCACCGUAGGAGAAAUCAGAGUCUUUGGGUUCUGGGGGGAGUAUGGUCGCAAGGCUGAAACUUAAAGGAAUUGACGGAAGGGCACCACCAGGAGUGGAGCCUGCGGCUUAAUUUGACUCAACACGGGGAAACUUACCAGGUCAAAACAUGGGUGGGAUUGACAGAUUGAGAGCUCUUUCUUGAUUAUGUGGGUGGUGGUGC